GCUGGGCUGUGGCGCGUGCCUGUAGUCCCAGCUUCUUGGGAGACUGAGGUGGGAAAAUUGCUUGAGUCCAGGAGUUCUAGGCUGUAGCGCCCUUUGCCUAUCAGGUGUCCGCACUAAGUUCGGCAUCAACAUGGUGACCUUUCGGGAGUGGGGAACCACCAGGUUGCCUAGGGAGGGGUGAACUGGCCCAGGUCCGACACAGAGCAGGUCACAACUCCUUGCUGCUCAGAAUAUAUGUGGUCAAAGGGCUGGGCCUGGCAUCAGGCGCUGGGUU
rnacentral:SRP_RNA from 1 species